rnacentral:rRNA from 1 species
UACGAAGGGGCUAGCGUUGCUCGGAAUCACUGGGCGUAAAGGGUGCGUAGGCGGGUCUUUAAGUCAGGGGUGAAAUCCUGGAGCUCAACUCCAGAACUGCCUUUGAUACUGAAGAUCUUGAGUUCGGGAGAGGUGAGUGGAACUGCGAGUGUAGAGGUGAAAUUCGUAGAUAUUCGCAAGAACACCAGUGGCGAAGGCGGCUCACUGGCCCGAUACUGACGCUGAGGCACGAAAAGGCGUGG